UACGGAGAAUCCAAGCGUUAUCCGGAUUUAUUGGGUUUAAAGGGUGCGUAGGCGGCCUGUUAAGUCAGGGGUGAAAGACGGUGGCUCAACCAUCGCAGUGCCCUUGAUACUGAUGGGCUUGAAUCAACUAGCGGUAGGCGGAAUGUGACAAGUAGCGGUGAAAUGCAUAGAUAUGUCACAGAACACCGAUUGCGAAGGCAGCUUACUGUGGUUGUAUUGACGCUGAGGCACGAAAGCGUGGGGAUCAAACAGG
rnacentral:rRNA from 1 species